rnacentral:lncRNA from 1 species
AGCCGUGCCCCUUCCCAUGCAGCGUAUGAGUCUCUCCUGCUCCGCUCCACCCUUCUCUGCUGGGCCCUUCCACAGAGGCGCCUCUGUUGCUCCUGGACCAUCACAUCCUUCCUGCACCGGCAGCUUCACCCCUACCAGACCCAUCUUCUGAUUCCGAGUAGUCUUGCGAACCGGACCCCACCUUUUCACCUGCAUGGUCCUACAGCCUGGACCCUUGGCUCCCAUCGUACCCUCCGGUGUAUGCUCUACCGGCUGACCCGUGGUUCCACUACCUGCAGGUGCCGCUGAUGCCUGGCGACCCCUAUGCCUGGCCCUACUGGGCUGCCUGGAACCCCUACCAUGAGCGCAGGAUGCCAUCUCGCUUGCAGCACUGCCUGUCCCCAACAUACAUAGCCCCUCCCCUCUGUCUUUGAGGAACCUCUGGCCAUCCCCGCUCCGGUGGCACCAACAGCAU